CAGUCGCCGCGGGAAUACGUAGGGUGCGAGCGUUAAUCGGAAUUACUGGGCGUAAAGCGUGCGUAGGUGGUGGUUUAAGUCCGUUGUGAAAGCCCUGGGCUCAACCUGGGAAUUGCAGUGGAUACUGGGUCACUAGAGUGUGGUAGAGGAUAGUGGAAUUUCCGGUGUAGCAGUGAAAUGCGUAGAGAUCGGAAGGAACAUCUGUGGCGAAGGCGACUAUCUGGGCCAACACUGACACUGAGGCACGAAAGCGUGGGGAGCAAACAGGAUUAGAUACCCCCGUAGUCCCUGUCUCUUAUAA
rnacentral:rRNA from 1 species